rnacentral:rRNA from 1 species
GCUCUCUGCUUACAUAAAUAUAGAGAGUCGGGCCUGCCCAGUGAAUUUUUAAACGGCCGCGGUACUCUGACCGUGCAAAGGUAGCAUAAUCAUUUGCCUUAUAAUUGAAGGCUAGUAUGAAUGGUUUGACGAGAACAAUACUGUCUCCUUUUUAUUUUCAAGAACUUAACUUUUAGGUGAAGAGGCCUAAAUUUUAUUGAAGGACAAGAAGACCCUAUCGAGCUUAAAAGACAUUAUAGAAGUUUAUAUAUUUUUAAAUAAAUUUUCUAUUUAGCUUUUUAGUUGGGGCGACUAAGGAACAAAAAAAGCUUCUUGCUGAUAAUAAGCAGUCAUGUUUAGAUCCGAUAAUAAUCGAUCAAAGAAAUUAGUUACCGUAGGGAUAACAGCAUAAUCUCUCUUGAGAGACCUAAUCGAAAGAGGGGGUUGUGACCUCGAUGUUGGACUAGAAUAUCCUAAAGAUGCAGAAGUCUUUGAGGGUCGGUCUGUUCGACCGUUAAAAUUCU